rnacentral:rRNA from 1 species
AUCCAUUGCCAUACCACCCGGAUUAUGCCUCAUCUUGUCUGAUCUCAGAUGCUGAGCAGUGUGGAGCCUGGCUAUUACUUGGAGGCAAGGCAAGGGAGAGGUAAGAAAGGUGGGUC